ensembl:snRNA U6 U6 spliceosomal RNA
GUUGCUCGCUUUGGCAACACAUAUAAUAAAAUUGGAAUGAUACAGAGAAGAUUAGCACGGCCCCUGCACAAGGAUGACAUGCAAAUUCAUGAAACAUUCCAUAAAUAU